GAAAUUGGCAUGGACAAGGAUGUUCUCCUCAUGGGGCAGAGCAUAGAGAAUUUUAUCAUGCAAAAGGUGCUUAAUUUCAUUGUGCACAUUCAUACGUCCUCCAUCAUGAAGUGCUGAACUUUAUUCUGGCGGCAAUGUCAACUCAGCUACGUUUAGGGCCAAAAGAUGUGCACCGUUUCAUCGAUGCUGCAAUAAUCAGAUGAUACUUGGAUUAUAUAUCUUCUGCUUUGAGAGUGUUAGAUGGACG